AGAGGACAACAGAACUUCACAAAUAGUGGAAGUGAAGGUUAGUAGCAAAUGUACUGUAAAUUAAAAUUUACUGAGUAAAACUGUAAUGGCAUAAAUUUGGCAUCUAUAUAAAACUGUCUUUUUAAGCUGACUCAUCUUUUUGUCAGUCAGUCUAGUUCUAAGCAUAUUGCUGAUGUGAUCGGCCUUUUAAUCAACCUGAAAGUGUCUCAUUUGUAAAGCGGUAGGGAGGGGAGAGGUUCAUCUGAGAAGUCAUCUUAGACUAUUGACCUGAUGCUUUCUGUAUGCUACAAAUAGAAGCGAAGUUUCGGAUCAUCCACUACUAUGGCCUUCUAUGCUCUAUUAUCUGUUGUAAUCAUUUAAAUAUAGGCUUUAUUAAGUAACAGAGAAAACGUGUAAGUAAUUUCUCCAGUUUACAUUUCUCUAGGAGUUGUAUUUAGAGCAGAUAAUACAUUGGAUCUAUCCAUAUGUAAGAAACAUUUUGAUGAACUAUAUCAAAGCCUUGGGAUUGGGUUAAUUGUGACAUUUGCUGACAUUGUGACUUUGAAAUCAGCUGAAAUUUUACAAAGAAAUUUAAAAACUGAAGAGUUUUAAACCUAAUAUAUUUGGGCAUUUUUUGAACACUUUUCUU
rnacentral:lncRNA from 1 species